UACGUAGGGUGCAAGCGUUGUCCGGAAUUAUUGGGCGUAAAGAGCGUGUAGGCGGCCUGACAGGUCUGCUGUGAAAACUCGAGGCUCAACCUCGAGAUGUCGGCGGAAACCGUCUGGCUAGAGUCCGGAAGAGGAGAGUGGAAUUCCCGGUGUAGCGGUGAAAUGCGCAGAUAUCGGGAAGAACACCCGUGGCGAAGGCGGCUCUCUGGGGACGGUACUGACGCUGAGACGCGAAAGCGUGGGGAGCGAACAGG
rnacentral:rRNA from 1 species